ACAGAUGUCAUGAAAAAUCUUUUAGUUUUGUUUUGAUUGUACAUUUUUUGUGAUUCCAUAAUAUUUUUAACUAGAACCUAAUUUUAAUACUUUCAAUACGGAAUCAGCUAUAAUAUCCUGUCACAACUGUCAAAGGAAAUGAUAAUACCUUAGAAAGAACAAAAAAAGAGACUCUUACAACAGUUUCCAUAGACUUUCAUUUGAUAGUUUUAUAGGUUAGAUUUUUUCAACUGAUAGGUACGUACCGUAGUUAAAAAAUAAAUAUUCAACUUAGCCUACAUGGCCACAAAGAAGUGUGCAAGUGGGCGGCGCGGAAAUGAUGAAUGCGGAGAAUUAGACCAGUGGGAAGAUCCAAGAAGUUUUGUAGCUGUCAACAUGGUUCUUAGUGAAACAGAAUCUACUGAGGAAGAGGACAAUAAUAAAGAAUCAAGAUGUUGCGCUAGCAUGCAAACAGAGGGACCGGAAAGUGAGAUUGAAGCGACCGCUGGUCGUAAUGAAGAACGCGGCUCGAAUUGCAAUAACGACGGUGAUUUCAACUCGUGGAAUGAUCCCCGGUAUUUUGUGGCUGUCCGCAUGGAACAGAGCAGCGACUACUCACAGAACGACAGUUUGGUGCAAGGACAUGCGGGUGGCACAGAAGGAAUGGCGGGUUCAUUGAAUGUGGCACAAUCCCCACCCGUCAUUGAUCAACAACAGCAACAGCAGGAAUCGCAACCAGCCAAAGCAUACUUCAAGUGCGAAGUGUGUACAGUGGCGUUCGAGAAUGAAGACUGCUACAAGACGCACAUGAAGAUGCACAUUCAGCAGAUUCCCUGCAACGUGUGUGGGCUUUUGUUGCUGGUGGGUGACCUUGAGAAGCAUAUGGAGAUGCAUGCACGUAGCCCUGUGCACAUUUGUCGAGUGUGCAAUGUUGGAUUCCAGUCGAUAGAACAGCUGAUCGCACACAUACGCACGCACAGCAGCAUCUGUCCCAACGACAGGCCGUACAGCUGUCAGCUGUGCGACACCGCCUUUCACAAGAUCGAGGCGUUGCGCGCGCAUGUCAAACAGCACAAGGAAACCGAAAAACCCUAUGUCUGCAUCACGUGUGGAUCGUUGUUUGUGAGCAGUGGCGAGUUGAAGACACACUCCAUGACGUGCAGCAAACAGCCUGAAGAAACUCCAGCAUUUGUUUGUGAAACGUGUCGAAAAUCGUUCAGUGAGAAAGAUGCAUACAUAGCACACCUACGUGAGCAUACAGAUGACAAGCCACACAAGUGUGACGUAUGCAACACGUGUUUUACGCGUAAACGAUACUUGACAAAACACAUGAGAACACACGCAGGCAAACGACGUUAUGAUUGCCCCGUCUGCAGCAGCUCCUUCUACCAGGAAGUUCACCUGAACAUGCACAUGGAGCUGCACCACGUAUCCGAGCGCCCGUUCGUGUGUGACAGGUGCAACGAAGCCUUCACAGAACACGGCCUCCUUGAGGACCACUUGGAAAUGCACCGGCGCAAGGAGCGGUCCACCUUGAGGUGUCCAGUGUGCACCCUGCCUUUCCUGCAGAAGGUCGCCUUCGAUCGACACAUCAGGAAGCAUUUCCAGGAGGAAGAGGAUCGGCUCAGGAAUGCCGCCUUAUGGAAUUAAACUAGUACAAGUUAAGUGAAUUGCAGUUUUGGGUCUUUCCUGUUUGAACCUUGAGGCCGGUUCUAUUGAAAUUUAUAAGGUCACUCAGCCACUGGAGAGCAUCUGGACUAAGAGUGAGGAGACCUGCAGCCCCAGUUGGGAACCUGUAUAGUGGGCACUCAUCAGUAAUAUGGUGCAGCGUUUGCAUUUCACCGCACUCCGCACACCGCAGUCACAAAAAAAUGCUGACUCCGCUAGACCCCAUUUAUGCAUUGUCGCUUUUACCCUACUGCAACCAGUCCUUACCCUAUUUAGGCGCACCCAUGUUUUCCUAGGCAGAGAGAAACCCGUCGGGAGGGCAGAUACGUUGAUUCUAUCUCUAUUCUCACCUCCCAACAGUUGACAUCGCUCUUGCCAUACAGUCAAGGCUUGCUAGUUACUCAUUCUGCUUCUCAGCCAUGGGGGUUUGCGGGAUUUCAGUCUCAGAACUGGUUGAGGGUCGAGAAAUUGAUGAAUGGGGAGAGACUGAUUUCUCUCUAUCUGAUUCCAUAAUCUACUGGUAGAUUUUGAGCGACGGAGAUCUGGCGGUUCUAUGUGCGAGAGUACAGGUAGCCAAUGUUGAGGUGUGGCCGGCAGUGAUCCAGAAACUUUACGCAUAGUCUUAUUUAGCUCAACAUCUAUUAACUUGGUAUGGCAGCUCUCAUGCCAGACUGGUGCGCAGUACUCUGCAACACUAUAGACUAAUGCCAGAGCUGAUUGUAGCAGGACACCAGCUCCUGAUCCCAGGUAGUACUUGCGAGUUUGCUGAUAAAAUUAUUGCGAGUUUGUAUCUUAUUUCUCACCAUCUCGAGGUGCUUUCGGUAUGUGAGGCUGCGGUCUAGUUUUACGCCCAGAUAUUUUGGGCCUCUUCAUUUUUCAAUUUUGUCUUUCCAAGGAAUACACUCAUUGGCUUGUUAGCUUGUGCGUUUGUCAAGUGGAAAGUACUACACACUGUCUUGUUGGGGUUAGCUUUCAAGCACCACUUACCCAAAUAGGUAUUUAUUUUGGACAGAUCUGGAUUUAAAAUUUCUUCAAGUUCCUGAAGAAAGCCUCAUAAAAGUGGACUAAUUAUUCAAUCUGAGUCAGACAGGCCACCAGACUUGUACUUUUCAUUGCUAGAUACUGCUUUUAACAACUUAUGUUCUUUCAUCACAAUUGUAUGGAACUCUGCACAUGAUGUCUUCAUAAAAUUGAAUUGUAUCAACAGUAGAGCCUUGACAGAAGCUACAGACAGUCUAUUCCUCUCCUUUGUCCACUGAGAAUUCAUUAAUGAGAACACUUGCUCUGCAUUUUUUUUCAGUUCCAUCACCCUCUCACAAGUUAGAGAUUUUAAAAUAAUCUCACAUUGCUCAACAGGCACUAUUUCACUAUUUUUCUGUCUCAAAAAAGAAUUCAAAGCUGAAAUUUUAUCAAAAAGUUUGACAUCAUCUACAUUUACUGCACAACCGUUCAAAAACUGAAGGGAAGGAGCCACUUUUUCAUAAUCAACAACACCUUUCAGUAUCAUCCAGUCAAAAAUCUUGAAUUCAUCUAAUGGCUUCAACCACUUAUUUAAGUAGUCAAGGCAAGUGAUAUAUGCAUCUUUCACAUCAUUCAUGGAUGAUUCUUUUACAUCUUCAGUGCAAUUCAACAGCAAUUCUCGCACUUUUAAGGGAACAAAUGUAGCCGCUUCUCUUGCUUUCAAUGUUUCACAGGUCGAAUUCAAUAUUUCCACAAUAUCCAUAACAGAGUUAUUUUCUCUUUCUAUUUUCGCAAUUUGUGGCUGAAAGAUCGACAUCAGAGAAUGAACAAAAAAUAAAUAACUUUCUGCCUGUUCAUUUUCAAAAAAAGCUUUAAUUAUUUUUGGAACUUGAGGAGUUGUCAAAAAGUAUUCUUUUAGAGGCAAAUACAUUUUCAAAAUUCUUUCAAUUGUUGGGAAAAGACUCAGCCACCUCGUUUUACUGUGAUAAAGUAACUUCUGGUAAUUAAUAUCAAUGUAUUCACAAAUAGAUUUUAAGACUUCAGUGUACACGGUAUAUACUGAGAAGAAAUUGAAGAGCUUCAUCACCAAUGACUCUAUAUCAAUUUGUAGAACAUCUGUACCAUGUUUAAUGCAAUUAUGCAAAAUAUGCACUGGGCAACCUACUCCCACAAUUUCCUUACCAAGUUUAUCCUUAAGAAUUGUCAACACAUUCUUCCCUGCUUGCCUGUUGAUCCCUCCAAAAUUUACAUUGGCAUUAUCUGCUGUUAGAUACAUUUUUCAGUCAAGUCAAACUUUUGCAAGGUCUUCAUAAUUAUGUCAGAAAUUGUUUCUACUGUCUCAUUUUGCGUCUGAAUGACAUCCAAUAACUUUAAUUGCAUCCCUCCUUGAGAAUCGAAAAAUUGGAUUAUAACUGGAAAUAUUUUUUCUGAUCCAUGAUUACUGGCAUCUGUUGAUACGCCAACAUAUUAUGUUAUGCUUUGUAACGAAGACUUUAUAUCUUCUAUUAUCCAUGUAGCUAUUGUACCAUUUAUUAUAGCUUCUGUUUUAGUUCUCUGACAAGUAAUAUCUCUAGCAAUGUUAGAAUCAGAAAAAAAUACCUUCAUCAAACGCCCAGUACAGUCCAUGGAGUUGUAAGUCUGGUGAUGCUUGACUGUGUGAAAUGUAAGUGUAGCCUCAGCAGCUGCUUCCUUCAUUUUGCUAUGAGAUGAUGCCGUUUGGAAAAUUUUGUCUAUUUUGUGAGUUUCCUUCACCACUAACAGUUGUUUUUUAUGUUUGUUGCUUUUUAUAUGAGCCUCAAUAUCAGAAGCACCUUUGAAUUUUAUAGAGAUGUAGCUAUCACACACCAUACACAAAACUUCUGACAGCUCUCUUCCCUGUUUCAUAGAAGGAUACCUUUGACAUAAAAUGUCUGUAAAUGUACAAUAACGUUUGCUACUGGACGCCAUCUCACUUUUUUCGAUUUCGUUGCACUGUGUUCUCGUUAUAGUAUUAUAAUCAUAUUAUAUAUACACACUAUCAUAUAAUAACGUAGUAGUUCAAAUCUCCACCUGUAAUAGUAAACUAGCUGUAAUGCCUAGUUUAUACGAUGCCAAUUGGCGAUACAGUUGUCUUGUGACAAUUGUUUUCUAAAAUUUACAGCUGAUGUAAAUUAUCUAUUAAAUCUUUUGAAUUUAAAACAAGGCUACAGUAACAUUAUUAUCAAGGCUACAGUAACCAUAAUUAUAAGAGUCACUGUGAUCCAGGCAUGGCUUAUGGUAAUGGAAACUCUAAUAGACAAUAUAAGCUGUUUGAACCCGGCAUCAGUUGUCUCAUGACAAUUGUCUCGCCAAUUGGCAUCAAAUAAACUAGGCAUAAAUGUACCAAUAACUCCACAAAACUGGCAAACAGCAACUAAACAGGAAUCACUGCAAUUACUAUCACGCUUCAUGCAUAGAAACAUUCAUCACUACAGUACAAAUGGCACUGUCAGUAGUCAUUAUGCAGAUCAUGGGGCAGCCAUGGGCAGAUCAAACCGGUUUUAAAGGAGGGGGCGACACCCCCCCCCUAAAAUGUCUGAAAUUGACACCCCCCCUACCCGGCUACACCCCCCCCCCACAUCCCACACAAUGUCCGGAAAUUUAUUGAAAUGUCAGGGAUUUUGUCAGGAAAAAUGAUUUUUUGAUCUGGUAACCCUAUUCAAAAGUCAGCAUGGCACUUCAAACAUUAUGGCGUUGCAACAGAGUUAGAUUACUUUUUUACCCACUAGGAGUGCUAGUAUCGCCUCAAUUCAAACAUAUGAUGUGAAGAAUGGUAAUUACAACGUUUUGGUGUGUCUAACUCAAUUUCUGAAAAAAUGGCACUUACAGCGUUUUGGAAUGGAACCAUUCAAAUGUUUUUGUGAAGUCAGGUAGCUGUAAAAUUGGAUUGUUUUGUAAUAGAAGUUUUAAUGUUUCAAAUGACUUUUGAUAUUCUGGAUUGUUUGGAUUGAUUUUAACAUCUUUUUUCAAGGCAUGUGUGAGAGGUUUUGCAAUCUUAGCAUAAUCUUUUAUCAUUUUUCGAUAAUAGCCUGUCAAUCCUAGAAAUUGCUUAAUUUAUUUUUCAGCUUUUGGGAUUGGAAAGUUCUUAAUAGCUUCUAGCUUUGAAGGAUUGGGUUGAAUUCCACGUUCGGAUAUGAUAUGUCCUAAGUACAGUAAUUCUUGUUUAAAAAACUCUGUUUUGUCCAGUUGGAUUUUUAGAUUAUGAUCUCUAAGUUGUUUGAAAACUGAUUUUAGAUGUUUCAAGUGUUCCUCGAGAUUAUUGAAAAACACAAUUAUGUCGUCCAUGUAGACUAACACAUUGGGCGUUCUGGAAAACAAAUGUUCAUUGCACGUUGGAAAAUAGCUGGAGCGUUCUAUAAUCCAAACGGCAUUCUCAAAAAUUCAUAAUGUCCAUUCUCAGUUGAAAAGGCAGUUUUUGGAAUUGAUUCCUUUUCCAUUUCAAUUUGAUGGAAUCCAGAAGUGAGAUCUAUCGCUGAAAAAUAGGUAGCCCUACCAAUUUUUCCAAAUAAGUCCUCAAUAUUUGGGAGGGGAUAUUUGUCUUCAAUUGUUUUAUCAUUAAUCUUCCUGUAAUCUAAAAUGACACGUAUUUUACGUUUACCAGAGGUGUCUGGUUUUUUUGGGCACUACCCAAAUUGUUAUAUGGGGAGUUGGAAUGUUGAAUUAUUUUAUUCUGAAGAAGUUUGUCAAUUUCUAAUUCAACGUCCUCCCUGAACACUUGAGGGUAUCUAUAAUUUCUAGAAUAUACAGGGAUUUCGUCAGUAGUGUUGAUUUUGAAUUUCAACAGAUUAGUACUACUUGUCAAUUCAUCAUGUUCACGUUUGAUGAUUUCAGGAAAAUUCCAUAUUAGAUUUAUAAUAUGUUUCCGCUCUUCGACAUUCAUAUGGUCCGUCCGAAGAAGUUUGGGAAUUUCUCUUAUAAUAUUCGAUUUGUUUGAUACAUCUGAGUUAUCAAUUUCAUCAUUGUCAAAAAUAGUUUCUAAUUCUUCUAUCUCCAUUGGCUCGGGGCUUAUGGUCAUGAGCUCAUUGGAAUACACUAUGCACUUACAUCUAUUUUCUUCUAUACUAACAAUACUUUCUUCAACGUAAUAACUUUCAUGAGAACUGGUUUAAGUAGUCCUGUCUUGAGAUUAGGAAUCGACCCAACUGGUACAGUAACAACAUUAAAUCCUGGUUUCAAGUGAAUUUGUUCAUUAGAGUUAAUUACUGAUAACAACAGUUUCGAAAUAGUACGAUAAUCUAACGUGUUGUUUGUAUAAUUUACAUUGGCUUUGAGUUCUUUCAAAGUGUCAUGACCUAAUAAGAUAUUGUAUCUUGUUGAAAAGUCAUACACGUACAUUUUGAUUUGUGAACUUCCUGGAAACACAGUAUUUGAGUUCAUAAAAAUUUAUCCAUUUCCACCACUUUCACCGGCUGGUGUUUUUACUAUGAACUUUUCUUUAUAUCUGGUCACAUUGGGUGGUAUGAUAGAGGGGUUCACAUAGUUCUUUGACGACAAAAUAUGGGAGCGACUUAUUUAUGAUAUUCAAUUCAAUUUUUUUGGGGGUGUUUCCGCUGAGUAUGUUGGGCCUACCCCUAAAAAAUGAGCCUGCAUUUUGUUGAAUGCUUCAGUAAGUGAAGUUAUCUGGUGUUGCAUGCUUUGGAUUUCGUUUCCGAAAGGAUGAGAUGAGUUGUCUGUCAAGUCAUUGUGCAUGUUUUGGAUUCUGUUUCCAAAAAGAUUAGAUGAGUUAUCUGUCAAGUCAUCUUGCAAAUGAUGCACUUCAAAUGGAGAUUUUGAGUUCAGUUUGAAACGAUUAGAAGGAUUUGUUUGAACUAUGUGCAUGCUGACAGUGUUUUGUGAAUCUUACUAUUAUGUGGUUGUCUGUAUUGAGGAUUGUUUUGCACAGGCCUCGAUUGGUAAGGGAAUUUAGCAAAUUGAUUUUGAGGAAAAUUUUGUUGAAUGUUUGUGUUCUGGGGGAAUGUUUGCUGUGAUCCAUUAUUCUGUUGGAAGAAAUUCGGUACUCGAGGUUGCAAGAAGUUGUUAGAAAAUGCUCUGUUGCUUGCUUGAUAAGCAUGAGUGAAUGUGUUUGAUCGCAUUGGCAUUUGAUUAAAAGCUCUUGAAUCAAUUUUAUUGAUAGUACUGAUAGUUGAUUUGAAGUUCAAGCUCCUUAGAACAAUACUACAGUCAUUAAUAAUCUUAUGUCUAGCAUUGUCAAGAUCGUGAAUUUGGAGGAUUUGCAAAUGAGAGCCCAAAGUUGGGUGUACUCCAUGAAUCAAUGUACAGGUGAGAGUUGCGUUCAACUGCUGCAUUAGAUUUGUCAAAAGUUCACCUUGGAUACCAUCUAGUUUAUAUUUAGUCAACACAGUUGUGCGUUUUUCAUUCAGGAGAUUAAUGAAUUCGAUCAGGUGUUCAUUGGAAUAGGAUCUCAUGAAAGUAAUUUCUGCAAUUAGGUCUGGACCUGUUGUCAGCGAAAUUUGUUUUUAGAGCAGCUAUCAGCUCUGUUACAGUUGUACAAUUGUUAUUAAAAACAACUGAUUCUGCGGGUCCUGAAAGACGGCUUACGGCUGCCCUGAAAAGGAGCCAGUGAUUUUCUGAUUUUUCGACAAUGUUUUCACUGCAAUAGGACACCAAUAAUUCAUUACAAGUACUAAUAAAAUGUGGUAGCUUAUAGCAAGUACCAUCAUAAUGGGGUAUGAAUUUAAGAAUGUCAUGAGGAAUUUGUUUCGAGAUAUUAGGCAUUGUAGGGUUUGGUUGAGGAAGAGUUAUAACGAAAUUACUCACAGUCGAUUGAGGAUGGUGGGUGAUGUUCCAGUUGUCGUCGGCGUCGGUGCCGUCUUCUCCUUCAGAUGAUGUAUGGACAGCAGGAAUCCUCCUGUAGGUGGUGAGAUCUCUGUCCCUCUGUAGAGUCCUCUCGUCUCCUGCGGUGGCUAGCGUGGGGUUGAGCUAACUGCUAGGCUGGAUACGUUUACAGCGUGAUGGUGAUACCUACCUUGCGUGAUGCCUUGCUACCCAGCGUGAUGGUAAUAUUUACCUUGAUGGUGGUUUUCCAGUGAGAAGUACUUGAAGUCGAUUUCGUUUUUGUAGUUUGAGUUGAUUUACACUUAUUAACACUGGUGAAAGUUAAGUACUUGUUGAAGAAAUUUUUGAAAGUUUGAGUUUACUCUGAUAACACUUGACUUUGUUUUGUUGGAGAAUAAUUGUCUAGUUGAGUGGUAGAUUUUGGAUUUUGAAGUCGAGUCACUUUCACUAUGAGUUCCUCAUUGGAGAAAAAUAUAUGGGUUGGUUCACGGAUGAAGAUGUGAAACUCAAAGUUUUUUCGUUGCACAAGAUAAAAAGUCUUGUAUCUGAGUUUAAUGAACGUGGAUGGAUACAACGAUAAAACUUUCUGCGACAUAAGUUCGGGCGCCAGUUAAGUGAUUGGAUGACACAACUGAGUUUUUAAAAAUUGAAACUUUAUUAACACUACAACUACAGAAAAUACCAAAUUAAAGAUUCGGGAGCUGAGUGCUCUUGUCAAGUGAUUGAGUAGAACUAACUGAAAAUAAUCAAUUGAGACAUAAAGAAGACAAUGCAUAGUCAGCUAUAUUCUAUAACAAUAGGGUUGUAAUACUACUACUAUAGAUAUUUAACUAAUGACCAACGUUCACAGGAAUUACUCAGUGUCUUAUACCCUCCGUGUGUAUGCUACCUUUUUCUCGGUCAGAGUGUAUGCAGUGUCCAACAGACACAGAUUUCCUAUUUUCUAAUUUUUAAGAUAUAUCUCAAGUUUAAAUUAAUUGAGAGGGAUAAGAAAAAGUAUUAGAAUGACUGAAUAGAUCAUAUAUCAUAAUAGAAAAACCAAAUAUGAUGACAAAAUAUGAAAUAUGAUACUGAAAAUAUAAUUGAUAGAGUCAUUUGCAAAUCACUCACGAUUAUGCAAGCACAUGAUACAUAUUUUAUGUGAACAUUCAAGGCAGAUUGGUUUUUCACAUUCUAUGCACUUGUAUGCAGUAUUUCGAUUCUUCUUGUAAGAACAAUUGCUGCACUUUUUUUCCUCUCCAUUUUAUCUGAAGGAACUUCUCCAGGAUCCUGCUUCUGGGGUUGUUGUUCUCCAUGUGCAACUUCAGAGAUGAGUGAUCGCAGCUCAGAUCCCAAUGUUGGUGGUAGGCGGUCUUCUAAAUGUGGUUUUAUGAGGCUGGUGGCAAUUUCCUCAAUGAAGUCAAAUCUGUCCAAGUCUUUGGCCCUCCUGAAGCACAGAUACAGGAUGUGACUGUUUGUAGCAGCAAUACUGAAUAUUCGGAAGAAUAUGGCCACAGGCCAUCGAAGAGUUCGCUGGAUUGAUGAAUAACUGGCACACUUCUGGUCUAAACUGUCAAUGCCACCCUUUGUUUUAUUGUAAAAAGUGUUUAUUUCAGUUUUGUUCUCUUCAUGAUCCCACCCCAUCUCAUGAUGCAUUGAUGAGAGAAAAAUCACUGCCCUGUUAUGAUGUUUAGGAGGGACAUAGCUAAGCAAUGUAAAAUCUUCUGUGAAACCAUACAGACAUGACCAAGGAACCCGUUUUCGAUCUGGAAGGAAUUCCUUGGGUACCUCCCACUUGAAUUUUCUGAGAGUCCCUACAAGAGUUAGACCUCUCUCUUUCAAAGAUUGAGCCAACUCAAUGGAAGUAAACCAAUUGUCCAUGGUGAUAUUGCGGUUACUCCCAAUAAUAGGUUGUAUCAGAAGAAGCAAAGCCUGUGUUGGUUUCUGGAGUGUUUUUUCUUGCUGAGUCAAUCCCUCUCCAUCUGCUCCUUUUCCAGCAUAAAUAUAUCCAUUGUAGAAGUAGCAUCACAGAGAGUCACAAUUUUUAUCCCAUAUUUUUCUGGUUUAUUGGGCAUGUACAUGAUGAACCCACAAUUACCCAUGUACCCAACCAACUGCUCAUCAAUAACUGCAUACUCUCCAAUGCAAUACAAACUUUUUGAAUUUGCUGAGAACAACUCAAAAAAAUCAUCAAUGGGAGCAGUUUUCUUAAUUUUUUUUCGUUCCUCAGUUGUACCUGGAUCAUCAAACUGCACAUAUUCCAGAAGUGUUUCAAACCUCCUAGAGGACAUUAUUGCACAAUAUACUGGGUGCUUCAAAAAAAUGUAUACACACUUUGAACAAUCGUAGUUUUACCACUCUACAAGGCUAAUGUUAUAUUUCUUCACCAGGUGGCAGCAUAAUCGUCCCUCUAUGUUAUAUUGUUAGUUGGAAUUUGUAAUAUCAACAUGGCAGACGUACAUUUGAGUUUUGAAGAACAUAAGCAGGAUAUUAAGUGGUACUGGAAGUUUGAGAAUGUAAAUGAAGUUCAAAGACAGUGGAGAAGGGAGUAUGAUACAGAACCACCUUCAAGAUUAACAAUUACAUGCAUACGAGACAAAUUCGAAGUUCAUGGAACAGUGUGUGAUGUGCAUAAAUGUCAUUCAGGUCGGCCUUGAACAGCUACAAGUGAUGAGUCAUCAACGGCAGUCUUGGAACUGUUUCAACGGUCUCCUAACAAAUCUUCAAGGCAAGGGGCACGUGAAAGUGAUGUAAGUGCUAGCAGCGUGCUACACAUUCUGAAGAGAGGCAAGUAUCGUGUUUACAUUCCAAGGCUGGUGCAACAGCUAAAUGAUGAUGAUCCAGAUCGAAGGUUGCAAUUUUGUGAAUGGAUUCAGGAGAUGGUGAUACGUGAACCAGGAUUUAUGGGUAGCAUCAUUUGGUCGGAUGAAGCCCAAUUCAAACUUAAUGGAACUGUCAAUAGGCACAAUUGUGUUUACUGGGGUGAAGAAAAUCCUCACAUUACAAUUGAAAAAGCUGUAAAUUUUCCUGGUGUAAAUGUGUGGUGCGGUUUGUCUUCAAGGGGACUCAUUGGACCUUUUCGAUUUGAAGGCACUGUAACCGGUAUUAAUUACCUAACAAUGCUUGCUGAUUCCAUAUUUCCUGCCAUUCGUGCAUUAUACGGUAAUGAUGAUUUUUAUUUUCAACAAGAUGGUGAAAAGAUGGCACUAUCACAGGGACGUACGAGCUUACCUGGAUCAAAAUUUGCCAGGCCAGUUGAUAGGACGCAGGUGCCAAUCGAGUUUCCAGCACGCUCUCCAGACCUUACACCACUGGAUUUCUUCUUGUGGGGCACAGUAAAAGAUGAGGUGUACAAACUUAAACCAUGUAACCUAGACAUUCUUUGGAAUGAGAUUCAAGCAGUGUGUAGAGAAAUCUCAUUGGACGUUUUGAUAUGAUGUACAGAAUCAGUGGUGACUAGUACUCAGAAUUGUAUUGAUGCUGCAGGUCACCAAUUUGAACAGUAUUAACAUUCGUUAUUUAUGUUUCAUUGACAUUGGACUUUCAGCUUUCUAUUUUCCUGAAAUUUAACUUUGUAGAACAUAAAUAAAUUUUCUAUGAAAGUUCAAAGUGUGUAUACAUUUUUUUGAAGCACCCGGUAUAGGCCUUCCAAAUAAUUUUGAGGUGUAUGAUUUCCUUAAAUUCUCAUUGCUCAAUUUGUAAAUCAUAGUGAACAUCAGGUAACCAAUGAAAUCUUUCAUCUCAUUUUUGGUUGUUUCUUUGAGAUUAUACUUAGCUUGCUGAUACUCCUUACUUGCUCGAAUUAUUGCGAAUUUUCUACUUGUCCAUAGAACCAUUUCAUCGAUCAUUUGAUCUAUAAUGAGUAAAGACCAAAUUUCUGAUGGAGCAUGAGUUUGUCCCAAAUUACGCACCUCAGCACUCAUACCUGGCAAACAAUUUCCCAGCCGAAUUAUGUUGUGAGCAAGUGUGCGUCUUGUUCUUGGAGGCUCUACUGCAGACCAUCUGAAUGCAACAGGAUUGACUUGUGUUGUCCUUCCAAAAUAGAACUCUGGUUCCUCUGUUGCAGGAGGUUUGCCUCUCAGUGUGGGUUGUUGUUCACUUUCUCCCUCUUCUUCUUUUUCUUCUCCAUCAUCAUAAUCUACAGCCUCAUCAACUGAUGGUGCAAAAAGCUCAGGUGAAGGAGGAUUCUCAUCAGGCUCUAGAGAACAAGGAAGUGGUACAGUUGGAUCAUUUUCAUCAAUAUCACUUCCAUAAAUUUUGUCUGGGAGAUCAGAUGGGGUAUCUUGGAAGAGCAGCUGGUGAAGUUUUACAUCAAAUUCUGGGUCGUUCAAAUCAUGACUGCCCUUUGAAGAACCGUCCAUCUUCUUAUAGAGAUAGAAGUCUAUUCACUAAUAAAAACUGAAUGUCCAUCCACUAAAAAGCAUAUUGCAUACAUAAAUUCGUAGAACCGACCAUCUGAAAUCGGAAGUUUAUUUACUAAUGAAAAUCAAAAACCUAUUCACUAAUAAAAACUAAAUAAUGUCUAUCCACUAAUAAUUCAUGUAUCCAGCUUAUGGUGGGUGUGUAUGAAGUGUCUGUUGGACAUGCAUUUGAUGUUGGUGAGUGUGUAUGCAGUUCUAUUGGACACAGAUCUUUGUCACUGAACUUUUCGAACACCUUACUAUAUCACUGCAUUGAGUCUGUCUCUCAACUGACAGCCACAAUGUGUUCAGAAAGAGUGGGAGAGAAGGUACUGAGAGGAAGGGGUAAGCAUCCUGAACAGUUUGGCCAACAUAAUCAUUCGAAAAUUGCUAGGUGUCUGUCAGACACUGCAUACACACCGAGGGUUUAAGGCAGUGACAAAGUCAUUGAUACUCUCACCUGGCUGCUGCACUCAAGUGAAGAAUCUGUGACUUUCCACUGUCAAGUUUUUUUGUGGGGAGGAAAUUUUCUUGAAAAGUUGAACCAACUCCUCAAAUUUAAUUACAUCUGAGUCUUUGUUGAAGGAGUUGUAAACCGCCAGCCUUGAGGUCCAAUCAGGGCAAGAAACAAGGCCACUUUUUGUUUAGAUGGAGCCUCAUCAAGGUUUGGGCCAAUUAAAAAUAUCUUAAAUUGUUGAAGUCAGUUCGAAAAGUUAUUUGCCACAUUGCCGGAAAGGCUAAGAGUCGUUUUAAGGGUCUGUUUGCACCUGACACCAUUUUUUAGGUUGAUUGAUCAUUCGAUUUUAGAUUCAUAAAUAGACUUUAUUGACAUUGAGAAUAAAAUGACAAUGUGACAUGCCAUAACCUCCAACCACCAGUCAUGACGGCCCCUGGCGCCUAAACAGAUGGUUCACUAUUGCUAACCUAUACACCUGGACUUCCAGGCUAUUACCAGUUGGUUGGAAUGUGUAUAAUGUAUAGUAUGUGUGUAUAGUCUUUUGUUUAGUUAUGGUUAGGAGCAAUCCAUUGCAAGCUAUAAUUAUUAAUGUUGCUUAUUCCAGGGCUGCUACUAUCUUGUUUUGGGUUGACUGCCAACUGUUGUGUGGCACUAGUACAGUAGUGUCAUCUGCAAAGAGUAUACAAUUGUUUCUGCUGUUGAUUUCUUUAGGAAGAUCAUUGAUGUACACUAGGAAGAGGAGUGGUCCAAGUUUAGACCCUUGGGGUACACCUCGAUUUACAGAUAGGAAGUGAGGAUUUAUAUUGAAUGAUGUUAUCUUUUUGGUGGUCGAUUGCUAAAUAUCAUAUUGCUUACGAUGUGAUAGAUAAUCCUCCAACCACAGCAGAGGUUUAGCAACUAUUCCAAGGUUUUCCAAUUUCCCUUUCAAUGUAUUCCAAUGCAGGGUAUCAAAUGCUUCAGGAGAUGAUUGAAAAGGCCAGAUACUAAUUUUUUGCCCUAUAAGUUAUUUAUGUUAUUACACAGCUCUGAUAUCGUUGAUGAUGUGCUGUAUCCCUUUCUAAACCCAUGCUGGUAUCCUGUUAUUCGAUUAUUGGCUUCAAAAUGCUUGAUAAGUUGAUUGUAGAUUACACGUUCUAUUAUUUUUGAAGUAAUUGGCAGGUUGGCAAUAGGUUUGCAGUUUUUAGGGUCCGACUUGUCUCCUUUUUUAAAUUUUGGAAAUACAGUAUCGUGGAUAUUUUUAGGCUGUGAGGUAGGGUUGCCUGAUCGAUGGAAGCAUUAACAAUGUCCAGUAAUGGUGUUCUCAUUCACAGUAUCACCUUCCCUGAUGAGUUGUUGCCUUGAGCUUCUUAGGUAGUUUAUUCAGUUGUGUGUGUGUAAUAGUUUCGAAUUUACUGAGUGCUGGUGUUGUAUUUGGUUGACUUGCACAAUCCAGUACUGUGGCACAUGCUGGUUGCACAGUAGCUGGAUAAAGGUAGCAUUUAGGAUAUUACUGACAUGAUAGGGAUCCCUUAAAAUGAGGUUGUUAUAUGGACUAGGGUAAGAUUAUCAUUGUUGAUUGUUAAUUUCUCAACUAUUUCCUCAUUUAUAACAAUUAUUUUGUUUUGUUAUCUGUGCUGUAUUUGCUAUUUAUGAAAUACAUUUUCGUUUUCUUUACUUCAGCAUCAUACAGCUUUUUGAGUGCCAUAUAAUUGGAUCUAUCCUCUUGUGAGCCUGUCACAACAAGUCAGUCAUAUGCCUGGUUCAAGUCCUUUUUUCAGAGCCAUAGUUUCUCUAUCUGUAAAAUUAUAAUAUUUUGAUAACAAUAUUUUUUGGGGUUCCCUUGCGUCUUUUGGGUGUGCCUGCUAUAAACGAGAUUUUUUUGGUUCAAAUCAAAUCAUUUAUUGUUAAAAAACGUUGGAAAAUGUUACAACAACGUCAAGAUAUUAACUAAAAAUAUUAACAUAAAAACAUAUAACACGCCAAUCAAAAUUCAACUGCGAAAAAUUCAUCCACCGUAUAAAGACAUUUCCCGAUUAAAAAGUCCCUCAAAUACGUCCUGUAAGAUGCGAUAUCCAUCACUCUCAUGGACUCAGGUAGGCAGUUGAAUAACUUUAUGGACAUUUGCUGCCAGCUCUGUUUAUAUACAUAGUAACGGCAGUGUCUGACUAACUUUGUAUUUGUUACAAGUGUUGUGACUAUGGAAGUCAGAGUUUAUUUCAAAAUCUUGAAUGUUUCUCCUAAUGUAAAGCAAACAUUCAAUUACAUAUAAAGAUGGCAAUAUUAAGACACCCCUUUCUAUAAACAAAUUCCUACAUGGUGUGCGAGGGGGCUUUCUACAUAAAAUGCACCUCAAGGUUCAAGUCAAGGUUCCCUUGACAUGGUUUCAUCAAUGUUCUGGCGCAACACCAUAGCAAAGACUCUGUGUUUGUCUUCUGAUGAUUUUUGUUUAGUCACCUGCCCCCUGGGAACUUGAAUCACAGACUAUAAAUUUUCAGCUACUACUUGGAAGUCUAUAAUGUUGUGCAUAAGAAGAGUAAUCUCUUCUUCAAAUGUGAUGGAGUAUGCUUAUUCAUAGACGAGAAUUUAAAGAUAGUAUUAUUAGACAUACAAAUCGAGGGAAGGGUAAAAAUAUGAUGAGAGCACUACAUUCGAUUCUAUGGAAUAAAAACUUGACCAAAAAACAAUAAAAGAAUUUUACUGGAUUAUUUUUUUUUAAUAUCAAUUUUCAUUGCUGUUCCUUUAGAAUAUAUAAUUAACAAAUGUUUAACCAAAGGAUACUAAUUAGAAGAUGCUAAAAUAAUACCCAUACAUAAAGCCGGGGAUCUCUGCAAUCCAAAAAACUAUAGAUUCAUGAGUUUAAUAAGCAAUCUUGCUAAAAUAUUUGAAAAAAAUAAAUGUGCUUCUUAGAAAAACAUGAUAUAAUAUGCAGUCAUCUAUUUGAAUAAAAUAAUUCGUCAUCUGAAGUAAUGAAGUGGUGCCAAAAAUCAAAUUAUUUCCUUAUACACUAUGGUUACAGGAUCCAAAAUAGCUAGAAUUAUAGUAGCCAACUAUUGAAAUAUGACUAAAAAGAUAAACCAGGUCCUUUUACGAGAGUUGUCUUCAUUGUUAGGUCUCAAACUUUCCAAUGUACUCUCGUAACUAGUUUUCUAGUAAAAUGAUAAUUAUUUGAUCUAUUAGCAAAUUAUGUUUUUUUCAUAUUCUCUAUUCAAGUUUUAUCUAUGAAGUAGUUAGAUUUUAAAAGGUAUAUAAGCGUAUUUUACUGAAUAAAUAUUGUUGAUAUUAGUUUUAUAAGAUGUUAUAUUGUGACUGUGAUCUAGGGCAAUUGAAUGACGAAUUCGUGCUAUUAAUUGUUAUUUUAUUCUGUAAGUAUAAACUGAAGUUCUUCAUUGUAAAUAGAGAGAUUUAUUCUAGUUGAGAUGGAUUAUUGUAUUUAGAUCUUAUUCCUCUUUUAUAAGUAAAAUAUAGUAAGUGUAUAUUAAGUGUAUCAUCAUGUUUAAUGUGAUGGGACCUACUAAAAUUCAAAAGUUGAAACUAGAGUUUAUUACAAAUGAGUUGGCUAUGUAUUUAUCAAAGUGUAUUAUCCAAUAACACACUACCACUUCCACAAAACUAUCGAGCUGUUACUGUACCAUACAGAUUGAUAUUAAUCUUCUCAAGAAUUUAUUAUAUCCAUGAAAUUAUUAUUAUAGUGUAUCCAUGAAAUACAGAAAUUUAAAUCGCAAUAAUAUGGAUGUAAUCUCUGUGCAAUAUCAUAUUAUAUUAUGCUUCAAUUAUUAAAACUGUUGGACAGAAAA